UGGGUAGGGGAGCGUUCUGUAAGCCUGUGAAGGUGGCCUGUGAGGGUUGCUGGAGGUAUCAGAAGUGCGAAUGCUGACAUAAGUAACGAUAAAGCGGGUGAAAAGCCCGCUCGCCGGAAGACCAAGGGUUCCUGUCCAACGUUAAUCGGGGCAGGGUGAGUCGACCCCUAAGGCGAGGCCGAAAGGCGUAGUCGAUGGGAAACAGGUUAAUAUUCCUGUACUUGGUGUUACUGCGAAGGGGGGACGGAGAAGGCUAUGUUGGCCGGGCGACGGUUGUCCCGGUUUAAGCGUGUAGGUGUGUGUUCCAGGUAAAUCCGGUUCACUUUAACACUGAGGCGUGACGACGAGGCACUACGGUGCUGAAGCAACAAAUGCCCUGCUUCCAGGAAAAGCCUCUAAGCAUCAGGUAACAUCAAAUCGUACCCCAAACCGACACAGGUGGUCAGGUAGAGAAUACCAAGGCGCUUGAGAGAACUCGGGUGAAGGAACUAGGCAAAAUGGUGCCGUAACUUCGGGAGAAGGCACGCUGACACGUAGGUGAAGUGAUUUACUCAUGGAGCUGAAGUCAGUCGAAGAUACCAGCUGGCUGCAACUGUUUAUUAAAAACACAGCACUGUGCAAACACGAAAGUGGACGUAUACGGUGUGACGCCUGCCCGGUGCCGGAAGGUUAAUUGAUGGGGUCAGCGCAAGCGAAGCUCCUGAUCGAAGCCCCGGUAAACGGCGGCCGUAACUAUAACGGUCCUAAGGUAGCGAAAUUCCUUGUCGGGUAAGUUCCGACCUGCACGAAUGGCGUAAUGAUGGCCAGGCUGUCUCCACCCGAGACUCAGUGAAAUUGAACUCGCUGUGAAGAUGCAGUGUACCCGCGGCAAGACGGAAAGACCCCGUGAACCUUUACUAUAGCUUGACACUGAACAUUGAGCCUUGAUGUGUAGGAUAGGUGGGAGGCUUUGAAGCGUGGACGCCAGUCUGCGUGGAGCCGACCUUGAAAUACCACCCUUUAAUGUUUGAUGUUCUAACGUGGACCCGUAAUCCGGGUUGCGGACAGUGUCUGGUGGGUAGUUUGACUGGGGCGGUCUCCUCCUAAAGAGUAACGGAGGAGCACGAAGGUUGGCUAAUCCUGGUCGGACAUCAGGAGGUUAGUGCAAUGGCAUAAGCCAGCUUGACUGCGAGCGUGACGGCGCGAGCAGGUGCGAAAGCAGGUCAUAGUGAUCCGGUGGUUCUGAAUGGAAGGGCCAUCGCUCAACGGAUAAAAGGUACUCCGGGGAUAACAGGCUGAUACCGCCCAAGAGUUCAUAUCGACGGCGGUGUUUGGCACCUCGAUGUCGGCUCAUCACAUCCUGGGGCUGAAGUAGGUCCCAAGGGUAUGGCUGUUCGCCAUUUAAAGUGGUACGCGAGCUGGGUUUAGAACGUCGUGAGACAGUUCGGUCCCUAUCUGCCGUGGGCGCUGGAGAACUGAGGGGGGCUGCUCCUAGUACGAGAGGACCGGAGUGGACGCAUCACUGGUGUUCGGGUUGUCAUGCCAAUGGCACUGCCCGGUAGCUAAAUGCGGAAGAGAUAAGUGCUGAAAGCAUCUAAGCACGAAACUUGCCCCGAGAUGAGUUCU
rnacentral:rRNA from 1 species